AUUGAACGCUGGCGGCAUGCCUUACACAUGCAAGUCGAACGGUAACAGGUCUUCGGAUGCUGACGAGUGGCGAACGGGUGAGUAAUACAUCGGAACGUGCCCGAGAGUGGGGGAUAACGAGGCGAAAGCUUUGCUAAUACCGCAUACGAUCUCAGGAUGAAAGCAGGGGACCGCAAGGCCUUGCGCUCACGGAGCGGCCGAUGGCAGAUUAGGUAGUUGGUGGGAUAAAAGCUUACCAAGCCGACGAUCUGUAGCUGGUCUGAGAGGACGACCAGCCACACUGGGACUGGGACACGGCCCAGACUCCUACGGGAGGCGGCAGUGGGGAAUUUUGGACAAUGGGCGCAAGCCUGAUCCAGCCAUGCCGCGUGCAGGAUGAAGGCCUUCGGGUUGUAAACUGCUUUUGUACGGAACGAAAAGACUCUGGUUAAUACCUGGGGUCCAUGACGGUACCGUAAGAAUAAGCACCGGCUAACUACGUGCCAGCAGCCGCCGUAAAAC
rnacentral:rRNA from 1 species